UUAUUUGGAUCUAUUCCUAUUGCAACUCUCAAGGUACUUCCUGGCUAGAAAAGGUGUUGUGAAAGCCUUGAUUUACCAUUUUUUGCAGCAACUAUGUUCUUCAACAUAUUUCUUCACCAUGAAACAUUUUGUCCUGCUGUCAUAAGAAGCCCACAAAUACCAGGUACAAUCAUCAUCGCAGACUGCUUUGACUCUCUUUCUGUCAUUCACUGGUAACUUGACAUCAACUCUGUUCUUGCAGCUCUAUUCCUUAAUUGCUUUCCUAAGCAAAUCAACAUUUUCAAACACUUGUCCAACAUGAAAUUUUGGACAAGUCAAAUCCUCCUUUCUAAAAGCUCUAAAUUUGGUUUGUAUUUCAUCAUCUAAAUUAGGUGCCCAAAGAUCUUCACCUUCAGAUUCAUAAUCUGACAUGUUUUCUUCCUUUCCUUCCCCUACAACUCCUUUACCUUUUGCAAUAGCUGCUAUUUUCUGCUUCACCUUCUCCUUGCUCUGAACUGGUUCAUCCUCAUCCACAUUGUCAGCAUAAAGGUCAUCAUCUCCAUCACUGAUUUCAAAGUCACUAUCUACCAUGUCACCAGGAUCAAAGUCACUGUCAUUUGAGUCACUAUCUGUUCCUACAUUGCCUUCAAAACAUCUCUUCUUUGCUCUGGUGCUCCUCAAUUGAUGUGCUUCUGCAUCUUCCUCUACUGCAUGUUGCUCUGCUUCCCUUGUUGCUCUACUUGCUUUGCAUCUUCAUGUGGCUCUGCUUCUCCUUCUUGCCCUACAUGCUCUGCAUCUUCAUGUUGCUAUAUAUCUUCAUAUUGCCCUGCUUGUCCUUGUUGCUCUGCAUUCUCCUCUGCUCCUUCACCAAAUGUGCACUACCUUCUUACAAACAUGAAUGGAUUGCCAUCUUCUUCCCUGUCUAGCACAUUAUUUGGAUAGACAACCUGAAUUGGUAUAGGGCAGUCUUCUUCUGAAUUUCCAGGCUUGCCACUCCGAGGAUUAGUACCAUCUUUUGAAGGGCUAAACACUGGUGGAAGUUGAGCCCUUGGAAAUUGGACCACAUCAUCAACAACCUUCUUAGUAAUCAAGGUGUCAUCAUGAUCAAGAUAAAUACUGAAGAAAUGAUGCCCAAUAGACAGAAAUUUCAUCAUUUGACCAAUAUCUUCCUCAGAACUGAUAAGUCUCAAAGAAUUCCUAGUAAUGUCAAGUAUUGGGAUUUGAUAAUAUGCCUUCAACGUGUCUGCCAUCUCCCAGUCAAUCUCUUCUUCUAGAUGUUCCACCAUUGUGGGAGACCAGGUGAGCUUAUCCAAACUGUCAUACCAAACUUGAUGUCCAUCAACAUAAGCCCUAUUGCUUCCUUCACCCAUGAAAAAACCACCAUGAUGAAACUGCACAGAGAACUUCUCACUUCUUGCUCCUGCAACAACAAAGCAUAAUUCAUCAAAUCAAAAUUGAUCAAAGAAUGAACUUUUUGAACAGGACAACACAAAGCACCAGAUGUAGGAGAUAUGCCCUAGAGGCAAUAAUAAAUGAUAUUAUUUAUCUCUGAGUUCAUAAUUAUGUUUAUGUUCCAUGCUAUAACUGCAAUGAUUCUCGAGUCUGCAAUAUCCACGAGGCUCGGAGGAAGACUCAAAUGCACGUGUGGAAUAAUAAACGGUAAGAAGUAUUCCUAGUCUGGCCUCUAAGACUAGCUCAAGUGUUGCAUGAUGAUUCUGUUUUCCUGGUCAUGGGCAUGUCUAUGCCAGCAACUUUGAGGGCACAAUGUUAAGAGAACAUUUGUGUUGAAUCGACCCGGAUUGAUGUUAUGCUAUGAGAUUCAUUCGUCGCAAGUUUAUUGGUACAUAACACAGAGAUGGUUAACGUUUGCAUGAUUCCUUAGACCAUGAGAGUAUCGAGUUUCUUCAUGCUUGCUUCAUGAACUUUGGGGUUUGUUAAACGUCAUCCGUAAAUGGGUGGCUAUUACGUCGGCUUACGGGUUCAUGGAAAAGUGUGUCAAGUAACUUGAUAGCUCAAGAUUGGGAUUUGCUCCUCCGACGAUGGAGAGAUAUCUCUGGGCCCUCUCGGUGUUACGGUAUCCAUCAUCGUCUGGCCAGACACUUUGUGAUUUGAUCACGGGGAUGCCGGAACACGAUAACGAGAAAAGAGAACAAUACCGGUAACGAGGUAACUAGCAUAGUGGACAAGUUGUUGAUCCACGGGAAUGCCAACAUGUCUCACCUCGGGUAUUUGUAACAUAUCGCGAAGCAACAGGAAUAGCACACGGCAACUGGAGGUUCACUCGAAUAUUUAUUCGUGUGGGUAUAGGGGUCAAUAUGGGUGUCCACGGCUCCGAUGUUGAUCAUUGAUCGGAAGGGGUUCCGGGUCAUGUCUAUACUUCACUGAACCUAUAGGGUCACAUGCUUAAGGGUCAUCUAUCUGCUGAAUACUAGACAGGGAGUCUGAGAGAAAAUCACCGAAAAAGUUUCGGACACCGAAAAGUUUCGGACAGCGGAAUCGUACCGCAGAGAGAGGUCAUCGGAUAAGUUUCGAUGAUACCAAAAAGUUGUUUCGGGAUACACCAUUAAGUCAAAUUGGUUUCGGCACAUGCCUGAUAAUUCUUGGAGGAUGCCAGAAUCAUUCUGGAAGCUUUUUGGAAUUUUCUGAGAUAAAAACCGGAAAUGUUCCGGAGCUGCCGGAGCCACUUCAGAUGCGUUUCGCAGAUGAAAAUCACUAAAACCGGAAUUGUUUCGGAACGCGUUGAAAAUCAUUUUAGUGGGUACUGGAAAUGUUCUUAGCCCACAUAAAUAUUUUCAGUUCGAUCAGACGCUGAAAAAUGUCGUCGUGAAUAGUGAAAAUCAGCUUUAUGGUUACUUUAUGGAAAGCCACAUUUUGGGGCUUUGCUCCAAAAGAUCUUGGGGAUGACAUGGAUGGAUAGGAGCCAUUUUUUGGGCCCCUCAUGGGGGUGUGGCCGGCCACAUGGGGUAUCCCCCCUUGGGGACCCUCUUGUUCCUUGGUUUCACUCCUAGGUCCUUGUGGAAGGACUUCAUUCAUGUGCAUUUUGGGUUUUUUGUGAAACUACCCUACCCCCUUGGGAUUUCCUAUAAAUAGAGGUGGAGGGGCAGCCCUCCACACUCAUCCCUUGCUCUCAUACACAUGCCAUGCAUUAUCUGGCUUCUUCUCUCCCUCCCACGAAAAGAGUUUCGUAGAGCCGUAAGGCUGUCUGGGUUCCGACAGGAACUAGUUCUGGACGGCGAAGCCCUGCCGGAUAGAUGACACCGUAUGUGUGCAACUCUGUAGAGAGAUCGUAGUUUCGGUCUUAGUUCGUGAGUGCCUCCCGAAGGGCUGUCCAUGUGACCGUCCGAGUUUCGAAGGUCCUCCCGAAGGGCUGUCCGAGUGACCGUUCGAGUUUCGAAGGUCCUCCCGAAGGGCUGUCCGCGACACCGUCCGGGGGCUGUUCGACCGCCUCCCGGAGGGCUGUCUGAGGAGCAGAUGAGGGUAUACAUCCUCGCGGUUGGGAGGUUGUAAAUCCUAGCUGCGGGGAUCUGCACCGCCGAUCGUCAUCGACUCUACUUCCCGCUGCGCUACGAGUCGGUAACGAAAAAGAUCAAACCAUGUAUGCAGUCUCCAUAGUGGUCCUGGGCUGGUGCGUAGGUCGGAAUUUUUUUGUUUUCUGUCGCGUUCCCCAUCAGUGGCAUCAAGAGCCGUGCUAUGCGUAGAUGCAGGUUUCGAUCUAGAAUACAUGGAGAUGUAUGGGUAUUGCAUAAUAUAAUUAGGUAGUAGAUGAGAUCUAUUGCUGAAAAUUAUUUAUGCGGGUGACAGAUUAAAUCUGUUACCCGAGGUUCUUGUUGCUUCCCUAGAAUUUGCGUUUGCUCAAUGUCGAGACAGCAUGGUGGAAUUUGACAAAGUUCUGGCAAUCCGUGAUCCUGAUUGAUCAUGGAAGUGCUAUCAGUUCUUUGGGUUCUGCCGUAGUCAAAAGAAAGAUGAAAUUCGCAGAUGAAAGGGCAUUGCAGAUAUGAUCUGCACGGGGGUCAUGCGUAUGACGAAGUUUAGUAUGGGGCUCGAGAUUUAAUUAUCCCAUGUUUCAUACACCCCGAGAUGUUAAUCUAGCAACUUGAAUAAUCAUACUUGAUGAUAAAACGUUGGUCGCUGCGGUUUAAGUCAAAACCUUAGAAGCCCCGUAAAAUAAAUUUUGCAUAAACCGAUUAUAGGCGUCUAACUUGGUUUUGCAGGAUGUGCAUAUGAUGUGGUAUAGCAGUGCUCAUACUAAUUCGAUUAUGUAUGAGAUGACUAUAUGAUGUAAUUUGAUUAACAUGACCUGCAUGUCAUGAUUCGGCAUGAUGGUUGGAGCCAUAUGAUUGCACUUUAAUGACCUGCGUGUCAACCUUGUUGUAAUGCAUUAUUUUGUUAGCUAUAGAGAUAGCAAUAUUAUCUGGUGCAUCGACAAGGUGGUGGCAAUCUUCGCGAAGGUGAACACGCGAAUGCCGAAGACGAAGAAAUGAAAGACUUCUCCGUCAGAAAGGGCUAUACCAUAUCAUGCUGUUAUGAAUUGCCUGAGAUGUUUAUCCCUUAUGAUGCACCCUUCUUGAUUGCGCGGUAGUCGCUUUUAUUAGGGUGAUCUCUCACUUAAAAUACCAAGUAGUUAGUGUUCUCCCAAGUGUAGCACCGUCACGGCACCUAUCUUUUCGGGGUGCGCCGUGUCACACGGGUACGAACGAUUAGAGAAGUGUGAGGCGGGUGAGUUGAGACCUCGCAGCGAGAUCACUUGGUUGUCUUGACGUUCAGGCAUGACCGUCAUGAGCUCGGAACACACGCAUCGAAAGAUGAACAAGAGUCACAUAGAGAUGUGAUUGGCAAGUUGGCCUGCCGGUUGAGAUUUUUCGUCAUCAGUGGUGUUACACCAAUGGCGAACAAUUGAAAUGUGGGUCUUGUAUCACUCACAAUCAAUUUUGAGAGAUAUUGAUUUGAGUGGGAGCGCACUUUUGAAUUAACAUGUUUAAUUCUUAGUGCAAUUAAUUAUGAACAUUGUCUAAGUGUUAUAUGCAAAAUAGUUGUAGAAUAAUGGCUCGCGUUUCCACCUUCCCUGUUAAAAUUGAAUAGCUGUUAAAUAUCUGGUUAAAACUUUACGAUUGGUACCGUAAUAUGAGGAUUGUCCUCAAAAGUGCCGAGAAGGACUUUGUCCUAUCGCAUGCUUUCCGUAUCCUCCCGCUAAUGCUAUGGAUCAUGUGACUCUCGUCCUUUGAUCCAAAAGCUAGAAUUCUGUUACGGUCAAGUGGAAUAUGUUUGCUUCCAUGAAACCCAAACUUCAAAAGUUGGGAUAGUUAUAUGAUAUUCAUGGAACUGAAAAUUAUUUUCAGAUACAAACAAAGCAAUGUUUGUUUGCAAGUAUUAGUAAAAGUGUUUACUAUGCAUUUGACUGUUGGGAAAGGGAUCUAGAAGAACGCCUGUCGUAUAAUGAAAGGUGAAUAAAACAACAACUUAAAGAGAAAGGAAGUGUCCAAAGGGUGUUAGUAUGACUUACACGCCUAGGAAGUCCGGGGCUAAUGCCACUCUUAAGUUGGGUGCUUCUUCUGAGAGUAGGAGAAAUACUAAAAGUUAAACUGCUAGAAGUAUAAAGGCAAAAGGAAAGAAGACUGGAAUAUCCAGCUCAUGUAUGAAUGUCAUACAAGUUUUUGAUGUAUAGAAGGCUGGUCAAAGAUAUAGUUCUUGCGAAUUAUGGUUAAACAUGUUAAUCACUAAUUCUUGGGUAUUGUGAGUUCAUCACAAAAAUACCCGCUCGAUUGCAUUCUGUUGCAACUCGAUGUAAGAACUACUAUGGCCUGAAAGACUAGCUAGAAAUGAGGUUAAGGUAUACACAGGGAACAUAGUAAAUGUUACUAUACCUUCCAUCGGUGUAUUGCCGUCUGUAUUUAUUUUCAUAAUUCAUUUAGAGUUUUACAAACUCUAUCCCAUUGCAUAAGGCAUCUUGCAAGAAGGUUGUUCAUAAGAGAACUUUUUAUGUUCGAUGUUAUGAAUAACACAAGGUCCAUACUUUCAUUAUGAAUGAGAUGUAUGUUAUGAAUAUUGAUAAUAAUACAAUACCUCUGGGUUUACUUUCAUAAUUCAUUUUAGAGUUUCAUACACUCUAGCCCAUUGCACAAUGUUUGUUGCAAAAGAGUUGUUCAUAAAAACAACAAUUGUUGUUAAGUAUUAUGAAUAACAUAAGGGCCAUACUUCCAUCAUCGAUGGGACGUAUGUUAUGAAUAUUGAGGGUAAUAUGAUACAUCCAUAACACUGACGCUAAAUGUCGCAAGACUAAAAGAAUACCACACAAGUGUGGCACUACAUUUGGUCACAUUGGAGAAACCCGCAUGGAAAAUUCCAUUAUGAUGGAUUUUGAAGUCUUUUUGAUUUUGAAUCAUCUGACACUUGCAACUUUCCUCCGAAAAGUGAAGUGACUAAAAUACCGUUCACAGGCCAUAAGGAACGAACAACAAACUUAUUAGUGAUCAUACAUUUGAUGUGUGUAGUCCGAUAAGUGUUGUUAGUGGUGGAUUUAUUUAUCUUCAGAAAUGACUCAAGUAGAUAUAUGGAUAUUUACUUGAUGAGACGUAAGUCUGGAUCUUUUGAAAUCAUUCGAAAGGUUCUCAAAAAUGAAGUAGAAGUUAUUGUAACAAGAAAAUUAUGUUUCUGCAAUUUGAUUGCACAAAGGAAUAUUUGAGCUACAUGUUUAGCGAAUGUCUGAUGAGUUGUGAAAGGGGUUUCAUAAACUUGCACCUCCCGGAACACCACUGCAAGUGGAAAGUCCGUGGAGAUGUAAUCAAACCAUUUAUGACAUGGUAAGGUCAAAGAUGACAUAAAUAAAUUUGCCAUUAUCCCUUUUAAAGUGAUGCUUUAGAGACUGCGGCUUUUACACUGAAAAGAGCUACAUCGGGUCUGUUGAAAUGAAGCCAUGGUAUGGUACGCCCAACCAUGUUAUAUCUUUUCUUAACAUUUGGAAUAUGGGGCUUGUGUAAAAGGUUACAAACCUAUUCCAAAUCAGACAAGUGCUACUUUGUAGGUUAUACCAAAAUGUUGGGUAUUCCUCCCUCACUAUACCGAGGCAAAUAGUUUUGCUGCGAAACGGUGUGCUUUUAAAGAGAAUGGUUCUUUCUAAAAGGUGAGUGGGAGAAUAGUGCAAUUCGACGAGAUAAACAGUAUCUUCAUCAUAUCAAAGGAAAGAGACCUUGGAAGAAAUUCCAGAGUUUCCUACUGCGACUGAUACAGAAGUCUCUAUAAUAAAAUGUAUGAACUUCGGUCGAACUUGCAGCUGAACCACGUAGGCAAGGCUCGUGCAAACCUCUCAGGUGCGCAAACGAGAUACUGUUGUUAGACAACAUUAUACCUACGAUACACAAGGAAGCGUUGAUGGGCCCUGACUCCGGAAUUGGCUAAAUGCCAAUACAACCCGAGUUAGUUUCCAUAUAAGUGAUUCAAGAUUAAAACCUUGAUACACCUUUCGGAAGACUUAGAGUCUAACGAAUAUUUAUGGAUCUUAAAACUGAUACGGAUAAAAUGUUUUAUCCAUAAAGCUCGACUUGUUGAAAUAAUACGAUGAGGUUGUUUUCAUCGUAGCGAUGCUUAAAGUCGGUUCGGGUUGAACUAGCAAUUAAUACAUAUUUCAAUCAUGAGAUAUGAAACAUGGAUGAUAAAAGGAUUUCCAUCUGAUGGAAAUGAAAGCUAGGACUUGUAUAUGAUACAGUCCAAAGUAAUUUGUCGAUCCAGAGGAUGCUAGUAGGUAUGCAAACUUCAGAGUUCCAGCAAUGGACAGAAGAGAGCAAAAUGGAGUUGGAAUCUUCGUGUUUUGAUGAAAUGGUCAAAGGGGUUUUGACUUCAUCAAUGGGUAACGAAGAUGCUUGUAAUUCAAGAAAGUAAGUGGGAGCGUAAUAAUAUUUCUAAAAACCUUAUGUGCUUGGCACAUUGGUAAUUGGAAAUAAAGUUCUUGACACAAAUUAGGACUUCAUUUGAAAAUAGUUUUUUGAUGAAGUGCUUAGGCUAAAUAGCCUCAAUAUUAGCCAUGAUGAUCUAUGGAGAUAGAUUUACCUAAUGGGGCUAAGCAAUGAAUACAUAUUGACAAGUUGCUAAAACCUUUUAGCAUUUAAAACGCCAAGGAGUGAUUCUUGCCAAAGUCACAUGGAAAGAGUUUUUGCAAGACUCGGUGUCCCGAAACACUGAUGAGUAAAAUACAUGAUGCAGAUUCCACACACUUUUGUGUUUGGAUUAAUCAUGUAUUCCAUGGUAUGUAAAACAACCAGAUAUGUCCAAUACUCCCAAGGUGUUGCGAGUAUGGAUACCAAAGUGAUCAAAUUACUGAUCAUGGGACAAACAGUGAAAGAUGUCACAGAGUACUAGAGUAAGUACUGAUGACAUGGUUUUCUCGCAAGCAGAGAUCAUGAAGAGUUCGUUGUAAAAUGUUACAUCGAUAGAGUCUUCAUCUUUUCUCCAUGCGAUUUUCGAUUUAAAUUAAGGGUUUUGUGUAACACACAAUAUGAAUUUUGUGAAAACGUGAAAACGCGAGGACAUGCAAAGAUACACACAGAACUGAAGUCGUCAGAUCCGUUGGACAUCAGGCUAUACCACAAGCGAAGCAUAUUUACACCGGUGUGCCACAGGUGUGAAGUGCAUUAGCAUAAGCUAGAUUAUUGACUCUAGUGCAAGUGGGAGUCUGUAGGAGAUAUGCCCUAGAGGCAAUAAUAAAUGAUAUUAUUUAUCUAUGAGUUCAUAAUUAUGUUUAUGUUCCAUGCUAUAACUGCAAUGAUUCUCGAGUCUGCAAUAUCCACGAGGCUCGGAGGAAGACUCAAAUGCACGUGUGGAAUAAUAAACGGUAAGAAGUAUUCCUAGUCUGGCCUCUAAGACUAGCUCAAGUGUUGCAUGAUGAUUCUGUUUUCCUGGUCAUGGGCAUGUCUAUGCCAGCAACUUUGAGGGCACAAUGUUAAGAGAACAUUUGUGUUGAAUCGACCCGGAUUGAUGUUAUGCUAUGAGAUUCAUUCGUCGCAAGUUUAUUGGUACAUAACACAGAGAUGGUUAACGUUUGCAUGAUUCCUUAGACCAUGAGAGUAUCGAGUUUCUUCAUGCUUGCUUCAUGAACUUUGGGGUUUGUUAAACGUCAUCCGUAAAUGGGUGGCUAUUACGUCGGCUUACGGGUUCAUGGAAAAGUGUGUCAAGUAACUUGAUAGCUCAAGAUUGGGAUUUGCUCCUCUGACGAUGGAGAGAUAUCUCUGGGCCCUCUCGGUGUUACGGUAUCCAUCAUCGUCUGGCCAGACACUUUGUGAUUUGAUCACGGGGAUGCCGGAACACGAUAACGAGAAAAGAGAACAAUACCGGUAACGAGGUAACUAGCAUAGUGGACAAGUUGUUGAUCCACGGGAAUGCCAACAUGUCUCACCUCGGGUAUUUGUAACAUAUCGUGAAGCAACAGGAAUAGCACACGGCAACUGGAGGUUCACUCGAAUAUUUAUUCGUGUGGGUAUAGGGGUUAAUAUGGGUGUCCACGGCUCCGAUGUUGAUCAUUGAUCGGAAGGGGUUCCGGGUCAUGUCUAUACUUCACCGAACCUAUAGGGUCACACGCUUAAGGGUCAUCUAUCUGCUGAAUACUAGACAGGGAGUCUGAGAGAAAAUCACCGAAAAAGUUUCGGACAGCGGAAUCGUACCGCAGAGAGAGGUCAUCGGAUAAGUUUCGAUGAUACCGAAAAGUUGUUUCGGGAUACACCAUUAAGUCAAAUUGGUUUCGGCACAUGCCUGAUAAUUCUUGGAGGAUGCCAGAAUCAUUCUGGAAGCUUUUUGGAAUUUUCUGAGAUAAAAACCGGAAAUGUUCCGGAGCUGCCGGAGCCACUUCAGAUGCGUUUCACAGAUGAAAAUCACUAAAACCGGAAUUGUUUCGGAACGCGUUGAAAAUCAUUUUAGUGGGUACUGGAAAUGUUCUUAGCCCACAUAAAUAUUUUCAGUUCGAUCAGACGCUGAAAAAUGUCAUCGUGAAUAGUGAAAAUCAGCUUUAUGGUUACUUUAUGGAAAGCCACCUUUUGGGGCUUUGCUCCAAAAGAUCUUGGGGAUGACAUGGAUGGAUAGGAGCCAUUUUUUGGGCCCCUCAUGGGGGUGUGGCCGGCCACAUGGGGUAUCCCCCCUUGGGGACCCUCUUGUUCCUUGGUUUCACUCCUAGGUCCUUGUGGAAGGACUUCAUUCAUGUGCAUUUUGGGUUUUUUGUGAAACUACCCUACCCCCUUGGGAUUUCCUAUAAAUAGAGGUGGAGGGGCAGCCCUCCACACUCAUCCCUUGCUCUCAUACACAUGCCAUGCAUUAUCUGGCUUCUUCUCUCCCUCCCACGAAAAGAGUUUCGUAGAGCCGUAAGGCUGUCUGGGUUCCGGCAGGAACUAGUUCUGGACGGCGAAGCCCUGCCGGGUAGAUGACACCGUAUGUGUGCAACUCUGUAGAGAGAUCGUAGUUUCGGUCUUAGUUCGUGAGUGCCUCCCGAAGGGCUGUCCGUGUGACCAUCCGAGUUUCGAAGGUCCUCCCCGAAGGGCUGUCCGAGUGACCGUUCGAGUUUCGAAGGUCCUCCCGAAGGGCUGUCCGCGACACCGUCCGGGGGCUGUUCGACCGCCUCCCGGAGGGCUGUCUGAGGAGCAGAUGAGGGUAUACAUCCUCGCGGUUGGGAGGUUGUAAAUCCUAGCUGCGGGGAUCUGCACCGCCGAUCGUCAUCGACUCUACUUCCCGCUGCGCUACGAGUCGGUAACGAAAAAGAUCAAACCAUGUAUGCAGUCUCCAUAGUGGUCCUGGGCUGGUGCGUAGGUCGGAAAUUUUUUGUUUUCUGUUGCGUUCCCCUUCACCAGAAACCCCCAAUUUUCUCCAUAAACCAGAGCUCCAAACCUAAGCCUAUUCCAACAAAGGUGCACAUACAGGUACAUAAAAACAUCAUUUCAUGUGGAAUCAAUGAAAAUUUGACCCGCUCGACAAGAACCUAAAACCCUAUCAGAAACCCCUAAGGCUUUGUUCGGUUACACCCCCCACAGGAGGAUUGGAGGGGGUUUUGACUUGUAGGGGAUUAAAUCCACUUCAAUCCCUGCCAAACCCCCUUCAAAUCCCUCUCAACCGAACACAGCCUAAUUGGGUUCGAAAAACCCUAAACCUAAAUCGCCAUACACGUGACAAAUACUACCACAUAUCAUAGGCAAACACAAUGCCAGCCCUAUCAAACAAGAAUGGAAGAGAAAGAAGAAGAUUUACGACAGGAAUCAGAACUUACGGUAAACGGGGGCAGGGGCACCGUCGGGGCGACGAACAUGAGACAUGGCGGCGGCGCCUCCUCUUCACCACCGCGAGAAGAAACUCCUCCGCGCCCGGUGCUCCGACCACGGCGCUGAAACACGGCGCACCACGCCACCGAUCGCCUCCGUCCCCUUCUCCGCCGGUUUGAUCGGCUCGAACAGGGGAGGUGGAGAGGUGGAGAGGGGGAGAGACGUGGGAGGGCUUCGGGUAUCUUUCCGACAGGGGAGGUUGUUGCAAAUAUGCCAUCAGGUCGCUCCUCCUUGCGACACCUGGCGCGCGGACUGGGAGCCGAACGGUCAACAGGUGGCGUACGAGCGGUCUACGACCGUAUUUUUACUGUUCACCGUACACAGUGACCGUAUUGCGUGAGUUCUUGUGUACAGUGACCAAAGUGACUGUGCGACGCAAGUUGAGGUACCGCUGAUGAAUUUUACUCUAUUUAGAAUUAAAAUCCUAUUCCCGUUAUCUCCAUAUACAUAUACACGGAUGGAGGCUGUUUUGUGAACGCGUCGAGAAUUCGUUGAAAUUGGCACGAACUGUACUCUUCCCCGACCCGACGCGGUAGCCCGGUCGAGAAAGGCAGCGACACGUGAGAGCCAAAAGCCCAGACCGCGCCGCACCGGUCGGUCGGGUCGCACGUUACCGCGUCCCCGAGACCCCCCGACUGGCCAAGGCCGAACCCUUCUCCCCGGAUCUACCACUUCCACCUCCACCCCCACCCCCACCUCGCUCUCUUUUGAAACCCGUCUCGUCUCCCCCAACCCCCAGAAACCAAAACCACCACCACCACCAAAGUAGGCAGCCAGCUCAGAUCGCCCGCCGACUGCAGUAGCCGGUGGGGCGUCGGGGCGCGCGGAGAUGGCAUCGUCCAUGAGUUCAAAUCGGAGUUAUGGUUUAAAAGAUAUGAAUGAUUUUAAAAAGCAUUUGUUUGACUUAAAUAUGAUCCACGGAUGAAUUAUCUAAAAUAUCAGGGGGGGUUUGAAAAAUGUAAAAUAACGGUUCGGGUGUGACUUAAAUCCGGACGGCGGGUUGAAUUCUCUGAAACAGAUGGACUUUUUUGAAAAAUGCCAUGACGGACGAAAGAAACCAAUUUGCUUUAUUAUUAUAUUAGGUAAGAUAAAGAUAAAGAUAUAUAAGACGGGACGAAAGCCUGCUUGGUUCGGUCGCCACGUGUGUGUGGUUUGUGAACGCGUCGCAGGCCCGUUGAUAAUUCGCGCUGAAUAGCCAGCCCUCGGGUCCGACGCGGUCGCCCGGUCGAGAAAGGAAGCGAAGGACAGCGCCGGGCAGCGACACGUGAGAGGGACCGCCCGGAACCGGAACGGAACCUCCCUCCUAAGGCAAAGCCCACCGCGCCGCACCGGUCGGUCGGGUCGCCCCCGCGUCGCACGUUACCGCGUCCCUCCCCGACUGGCCAAAGCCCCGAACCCUUCUCCCCUCCCCGGAUCUACCACCACCGCUUCCACCCCCACCUCGCUCGCUUUUGAAACCCGUCUCCUCUCCCCCAACCCCCCCGAAACCAAAACCACCACCACAACAGUAGGCAGCCAGCUCAGAUCGCCCGCCGCGGCCGCCGAUUUCUCGCCGCGGACUGGUGGGGCGGCGGGGGCCGCGGAGAUGGCGUCGUCCAUGAGGCGGCGGCCGAGCCGGGGGGGCAGGGGCCCGGGGGCGGCGGCGGAGAACUGGGAGCGGCUGGUGCGGGCGGCGCUCAAGCGGGACCGGGCGGGCGGCGCGGGGGCCUCGGCCGCCGCCGCGCACGCGGGCGCGGGGGCCGGGCUCGCCUCCGCCGUGCCGCCCUCGCUCGGCCGCACCACCAACAUCGAGCAGAUCCUGCAGGCCGCCGACGACAUCGAGGACGACGACCCCAACGUCGCGCGGAUCCGUAAGCGCCCCCUCCCCUUCCCCUCCCCUCCCGCUAGCCUGCUUCGCUUGCUGCUUGUCACCGCGAGUGAGCCCGUUACCCUGUGGUUGCUUGCGGGGUUUACUGAGUAGCGUGUGGCCCGCGGAUGUGGGGGAAAUGCCAGUCGGUAAUUGGGCGCCCACGCAGCGGGGCUCAGGGUUUCGUGUGCGCUCCUCUGCUGCUGCUCUAGGCCGCUUUGGAUGCUUGCCGCCUCACCUCGACCUGAGACAGGAAUAGGAUUGCCUGUUUGGGCUGAAUUGGGGGCGAAUUUUGCUGUAUAGCUCAGGUGCUGCUGGCUUCAGAUUGUCCGACUCUGUGGCCAAAUCAUGGUCCCGUUGGAGGUUCCAAAGGGUUCUAAUCUAAUAGCGUGAAUUGGCGCAUAAUGUUCCAUCUAGGAUUUCGUAGUGACUUGAAGAAAGCUCUGACAACUUUAUUUACUCUGAAUGCAACUCCAACCCUUGGUCUGGCUGAAAUGCUCGUGCACAGCUUGCGGGCCUGAAAAAUCUCUGGGUAAUUCAUUGUCCACGCCGUGGGGUUUAGGGUUCUGUGUGCUCUCAGUCUCUUAUGCUUGCCACUGACCUGGGGUUAGGUCCAGAAGACACAGUUGAACAUGUAACUUGUUAGCCCCCAUUUCUACGCCCUUACUCCGUUGAAUGAUCACAAGGAGAAGAACAUGGGUGUGCCGGCGUACUUAUGCACCCUUGCAUUAGUUUAUAAUCUGAAUGUCUUCUCUAAUCUUCCAUUAUUGUCGCCCUACAGUUUGUGAACAGGCAUACAGCAUGGCUCAAAAUCUGGAUCCAAGCAGCGAUGGGAGAGGCGUUCUACAGUUCAAAACCGGUUUAGCAUCCGUGAUCAAGGUAUGCUAGUGCUCACUGUGUUGCACGACCAAUCACCCCUAUUGUGGUUCAAUCUUUCCUCCAGUUAAGUUUCUACUUUGGUGCCUAACUUCUUAUUGUGUGCCAUGGUAUUCUGCAGCAAAAGCUUGCUAAGAAGGACGGGGGUUCAAUUGACCGUCAGAAUGACAUCGAGGUGCUGUGGAAUUUCUAUUUGGAGUACAAGAAGCGUCGUCGAGUUGAUGACAUGCAACGGGAGCAGGAGAUAAUGAGGGAAUCAGGAACUUUUAGCACCGAGUAUGUCUUUCUCUCUGGUUAUAAUUGUGGUAUUAUUUGCUUCAUAAAACACCAGGGUCGUCUCAUUUCCUGUGACUUGAGUUUUGGCCAGCAUAUCCUGCAUGUUGUGUCACCUUGAGAUACUCGCUGAAACACUCUGCUCAAAACAACCAGCAAGUAAAGCUUGUGUAUCUUGGUUAACUAAUGUUAAAUCUUGUAUUUAGUUUUACAUUUGCUCAUUGCUUUGCUGCUCCUGUGCUGCAUGUUUUUAGCUAUCAAUUAGUUGAUAUUGAUACGCCGGAGUUGGAUUUUGUUGUAUUUAUAUGCCCUACUCAUGUUUGUCCAUGCAUCUUUGAUCUCUGGUCUGGAAGUGUCUGUUAUACACUAAGUGCUAAGUUGACCUUCUUUCUUAAGGUCUCUGAGCACAAUUGUUUGCUGAAGUACUACAUUAUCAAAUCCCUGUUGCACUUGAUGAUGCUAUGGUGCACUCAUCUUAUGUACUAUACGACAUUGCUCAUGAGUUUUCCAUUUUUUACGCUAUGACCAGGAUGGGAGCUAGGGCUAUGGAAAUGAAAAAGAUUUAUGCUACUUUGAGGGCUCUGCUUGAUGUUUUAGAAAUUCUUGUUGGACAAGCACCGAGUGAUAGGCUUGGUAGACAGAUUCUAGAGGAGGUAAUUGCUAAAUGUACUAAUCCAUUAUUUUAAAGCAUGGUUUGCUUGACAUUUAUGCUUUAUUGAACUGGUACUCAUUGGCCCUUUCAGAUAAAGAAAAUAAAAAGAUCCGAUGCAGCUCUGAGAGGCGAACUUAUGCCUUACAAUAUUAUACCCCUUGAUGCAUCAUCAGUGGGAAAUGUUGUUGGUUUUUUCCCUGAGGUAUCCAUGUUUUCUGUUUUUGUUACAAUAUUAUCUUCUCAUACCUUGCCAGAUAUUAGUCUCUUUGGUUGUCUUGACUAUCUCUUACAACCCUAUUAGGUCAGGGCUGCAAUAGCCGCAAUUCAAAACUGUGAGGAUCUGCCACGCUUUCCUUAUGACACACCACAGCUGAGACAGAAAGAUAUUUUUGACCUUCUGCAGUACGUAUUUGGCUUCCAGGUAACCUUUCUCUGCCAUAUUUUCAUGGUUUGGGUCAUAUUAUAUUAGAUCCUCCUCUAUUAAGUGAAAAAGUAGAUACGUGUAUAGUUUUUUUGGUGUGCUUAGUUCGAUGAUCUUAUGUUCUUUGGCUUAGUUAUCCAUCAAGCAACAAUGUGGCAAGUUGUUUCUUUAUUUUUUGCUCCCGCUCCAGUCUUAUCUACUUAGGAUUCAUGCUAUUCUGUAUUGUAGAACUGAGCACUAGCCCAGUUGGUGGGAGCACAGUGGUGUCUCCUUGCCGACCUGGGUUUUUGACCCCUGUGGGGCGGAUUAGUUCUUGUUCAUUUAUUUUGCGGGACUAAUAAACUAGUAUCUCUUUAUCUUCUUUAUAAUGUAUGGGGGUUGCUAGUACCCUUGGUUUCAUUACUAUUAUCUAUUCUACCCGCGUCGUGUAUCUAAUGCGGUCAAAUUUUGCUCAUGUUUCAGGAUGAUAAUGUUCGGAAUCAGCGUGAAAAUGUUGCACUUACCUUAGCCAAUGCCCAGUCCCGUCUGAGCUUGCCUAAUGAUACAGAACCGGUUAGUUCUCCCCCUCUUAUCUGGAUACGUCUGAACAAAAGAACAUUUAGGCAUAUGGGUGUGGAGUUAAGUUAGAUCCUUAUUCCUACUGAUUAUAAUACUUCAUUUGUUACUAAUUAUAUGUUGUCUUGGGCAUUCACACGGUCUUCAAUGUAGGAUAGAACAUUUGAGCGCACAGUAAUAAAGUUUUUAAACCACACAUUUCAGGAACUGACUGUAUCUUGGUUGGUUGGUCUUGCAAGAGUGCAAGCCUCCAGCCACCUUGGUUUAAAACCCUUGGCUUGACUGUCCAGAUAGCCUAUGCUGAUCUAUUUCACUUCAUUCGCCUUGUUUUCUACUUGUACGUUUAUGCAAAAGUAAUGUGUUUACAGCAAGAUCACUCUUGAGAUUGUCGCCACCCUUAGCUUUACUGUCCAAAUAGUCUAUGCUCGUCUAUGUCAUUUCACUCGCCUUGUUGUCGACUUACAAGCAAGAUUUCUUUAUAGAAUAUACAUCGGAUUUUGUGUGUGUGUGUGUGUGGAUGCUAAUCUAUCUAUGCCAAAUUAGAAGCCUAUUCGCCUAUUUACCUUGGUCGUCUUCUACGAUUGCCCCAGGGAAUGAUGGUUUUGUCUAAAUAAACUGAAACUUUUAAGGAUUGAAAGAAGUAUAACUAGCUGUUUAUUAGCAAUGCCUAGGCUUGCUGCUGUUGUUCCAUCUAUUAUCAAUAAAUUUGAGGCACCUGGCAAAUAUGAAAUACCUGACCUCUUUUAUUAUUCUUUCUGGUGGCCAUUUGUCAGUAAGUUUUAGCUGUGCAUAUUAAUAAUUUCUUAGCUAAACUCACUAUAAAAUAAACAUGGACACAACUCUUGUAGAAAAUCGAUGAGAAGGCUGUUACAGAAGUUUUCUGCAAAGUUCUGGACAACUACAUAAAAUGGUGUAGGUUCUUGGGCAAGCGUGUUGCAUGGACCAGGUAUGUUAACUGCUUUUGAACAGCUUUCUUUUUGCAUGCUAUUAGCUCAUCGACGCUUACCUGUUAUAUCACUUACUUUUUUGGUAGCCUUGAAGCAGUAAACAAGAACAGAAAAAUCAUAUUGGUUGCUCUCUACUUUCUAAUUUGGGGCGAAGCUGCAAAUGUUCGCUUUCUUCCAGAAUGCCUAUGCUACAUUUUCCACAACGUGAGUCUUUUCUUGUCACCCGUUAAUUUGUUUUCAAGGGAUGCCAUGUGAAACACUAGAAGUCGCUAAAUCAGUCGAGGAUAGGCUCUUCCGUUUUGUAGAUAGUCUAGUCAGUUUGUGGCAAUGACCAAAAUCGUUAAUUGCAGCAGCCAUUUGACAGCUAGUUAUCUUAGCUUCUUGACAACCUCGUAAUUUGGGUCUAACUUUGACCACCAAUUUGACCAACAAAAUAUAUGUUAUAUGCCACAAUAAAUAUAGCAUUGAAAACUUCUUUCACAAACGAAUCCAAUGUCAUACUUUUUGUGCCAUAUAACUUAUAUUUUAUGGGUCAAGCCGAUGGUCAAAGUUAGACCCAAAUUACAAGGUGGCCUUGUAUAGAUGAAAGGAGGGAGUAGUAGUAAACAGAAUGAUCUGUGCAUCUGUCCCUGAUGGUGUAUCUACCUUUUUGCUGCACUGACUUGUUUCAAGGAACUCUAAUGUAUCAUGAAAACAAUUGUUAUGCUAUGACACUCACAGCAGUUUGCUUUAUGCCAAAAAAGAUCGCGAAGUAGCUUUUUUUUGUAGAUCUUCACUUUGUACUAGAAAAGUAGACCCUGUAUUUGAUGAUUCAAUGGAACAAAAUACUAUGUCCUUGAGAAAUCAAAUUCUGAUUGAUGGCAAACUUAAGAUUGGUUCCUUGUCGUGUUUGAAUAUGUUCUUAGUUCCUCUGUAGUUCUUUUGUACAAUGUGUUACUGAUCCUUUUUGGCAUGUCUUCAGAUGGCAAAGGAACUUGAUGGGAUUCUUGAUUCAUCUGAAGCUGAGCCUGCAAAGAGCUGUGUCACCAAUGAUGGUUCAACCUCAUAUCUAGAGAAAAUAAUUACUCCUAUAUAUCUAACAAUGUCUGCGGUAGGUUCAUCAUGGAAGUUCUAGCUUGGUUUACAAUUUUGUCCAACUGUUACAUCAAUUAGAUCAGAAUCGUUAUUGCUUUCCUACUUGUGGAUCUGGCUUUCUUUGGAUUGAUAUGGAUCUUUUUUUUUUGCGACUGAAUAUGGAUCUUUUUUUUUGCGACUGAAUAUGGAUCUUUCUUGAAUUCAAAAUAAAGUCCUAUAUUCUGCCGCUACAGUGUUGCGCUUCAAUAUUUUAGCAUUACUUCCUUGAUUUUGUUGAAAACUUGAAAUUGUUCGCUCCAUCUCUUAGUUGGCUAUGUGUGAGAGACCAUGUAGGUUUCGUUGUUCUGAUUUAUUUUUACUUAGAAUCGUAAAUUCUUUUUCCAGUGUAAGCUUUUAGCUAUUUACAUAGGAAUUGACUUGCUGUCUUUUUAUCCUUUCUGCUGUAUUUAGGUUUAAUGCAUUUUAUAUCUUCCACAGGAGGCUAACAAUAACAAUGAUGGGAAAGCAGCACAUUCUGCAUGGCGGAAUUAUGAUGAUUUCAAUGAAUAUUUCUGGUCCAUUCUCUAAAUCAUUGCCUUUGUGCUGUUUCCCUUUUACCCUUCGUUUACUGUCUCUCUUACUCUGUUUUGUUUCAUAUGUGUAGGUCACGCUCAUGCUUUGAGCUGAGUUGGCCACCUGCCGAGAAUUCCAAAUUUUUGCGCAAACCUGCUAAGAGGAAGCGUGUAAGUUGAUCAUGAAUAUAUUUUUUAAAGACAGUAGUAGUUUGAUGGUACGUGUGGUGCAAACAGCUAAACACUGUUGAGAAACCUAGUCCGCAGAAUAAAAUUGUUUAGUUUCUCCUUUUCUUGUACCUAGCCCUUAUCUGUUGUCCUCACUGUAUGUUAUGGGCAGGGGCUCCAGUACGGUAGUAAAUUGGAUUGCUUGUUGUCUACUAGUUUGUUUGAUUAGGAAGUUAUCCUCAAGAGUUUGAGUUCAAAUCAGCGAAGUAGGACUAGGUUUGUUUUUAUUGGGCGUUAAACAUAAGAGUUUGGACUUCUAGGUAACAAGGAGAGCCUGCCUUAUAAAACCCUACAACUGUUGUAACUUCUGACAUCAAGCAAGGAGAAUAGUUCUCAUCAAAAGUCAUCUUCCUCAUUAUUACCCCAUUUGUACAGACUCCCUAUUCUAAGUCGCACUGUCCAUCCACCUUCGUAUUCGUAGGAUUUUGGGAGUCUUCCACAUUAUUUAACUACCUGCAAUCUCCUUUAAGUUACAUGAGGUUUACCAUCCUAUCAUUUUUAGUUUCUAGUCAGCAUUCUUGUUGCAUUAUUUCAAUGUUGGUUGCAGACCUUGGUCUCAUUUCAGUUCACACAGUGUAAACAACUUGGUUCACACUCGAUUUUUGACUAUGAAAUACAAUUCUUACUUCUCCCUCCAUCUGGAAAUACUUGUCAGAGAAAUGGAUGUAUCUUAGACAUAUUUUAGUUCUAGAUACAUCCAUUUUUAUCCAUUUCUGCGACAAGUAAUUCCGGAUGGAAGGAGUAUUAAGAGCGAUAUUUAAGAAACUAUAUCGAGCUGCAUGAUUUUUUUUGUAAGUAGUUGCUGUUUUACUCCACCUUAGAACUUGGCAAUAGAUUGUAAAAUAAAUAAAUUACAUUUAAUACUAAAGCCAGCUACCUCUGGAUACUAUUGUGAAUUUGUGAUUAUCCUUUUUAUUGGUGUUUUAGAGUAUCUGCAAAGAGGAAUGAAAACAGAGAUAGAAUUUAUGAUGUUAUGCUUACAUUUCUUAUGCAGAACUACCAUUAUCUUUGAAUCAUUAAAUUUUGUAAAAACGUAUUACAAAAGUGUGGAGUCUUUUAAGCAAACAUUGGCUGUUCGUCAUCACUUUAUUUAUUUUUGAUAUGAAAUAUUUGGCAGUACUAGUGAUUAAGGGGGCUAAGGGGUGUUCUUUGACUUGAAUGAAAUAAAUCCAUUUUCUAUGAAAUAUUCAUGCGUACCCUGUUUUACAUAAUAAUUAUUUUUUCUUUACCUAUGCGCCUUCUUAUUAAAAAGUUCCAUUGCAGACGGGAAAGACCAACUUUGUUGAGCAUCGAACUUUUCUGCACCUGUACCGCAGUUUUCAUCGGUUGUGGAUUUUCCUCAUAUUAAUGUUUCAGGUCAGCUGUUUGAUACUAUUGUAAUUAAUUAUGUGAAUGAAUAUAUCAAUAAUUUAUGUGCUAAAGAUGCCUUCUCUCUUCUCUCAAUGGUGCUGCAGUGCUUAACUAUUAUAGCCUUUCACCAUGGGAAGAUAAACAUUAGUACUAUUAAAGUAGUACUUAGCGCUGGGCCAGCCUUUUUCAUACUGAACUUCAUUGAGUGUACGCUCUCUAAUUUGUUCUUCUUGAUCUCACUUUUCCUAUAAUGGUUUUGCACAUGUUACUUAUACAUUUUAAGAAAGUGUUACCUGGACCAGGAUCUUUAACAUUCUCCAUUUGCAUGUGCCUCUUAUCUUUUGUAGGCUGCUUGGAUGUGCUACUCAUGUUUGGUGCAUAUAAAACUGCCAGAGGUUUUGCCAUCUCACGAUUAGUAAUCCGAUUCCUUUGGUUGGCUGCAAUUUCAACAUUUGUGACCUAUCUUUAUGUGUGAGUAUUUGAUUAUAUGUUGUUCUUAGAUUUUACCUCUCUCAGUGUGCAUUAAGUUGCCUAUUCACUUUGAGCACUAAGUUACCUAUUCACUUUGAAUGUUGAAUAUUGAACAGGAAAGUCUUGGAUGAGAAAAAUGCAAGAAACAAUGAUUCAACUUAUUUCCGGAUUUAUGUUCUUGUUCUGGGUGGUUAUGCUGCGGUUAGGCUUGUGUUCGCAUCGUUGGCCAAGAUCCCAGCUUGCCACAGGCUGUCCAAUUACUCUGACCGUUCACAGUUUUUCCAGUUUUUCAAGUGGAUAUACCAAGUAUGCAUGUUUUCACUCUACGUCGUGUUUUGAGAACAUAUCUUCAUUAUGAAAUUACGUAUUCAUCUUCUUUCCCUUUUUCGUACCUAGGAACGAUACUAUAUUGGACGGGGACUCUAUGAGAGUAUAGGCAACUAUGCCAGGUUCUUUUCUUCUCAUAUUUAGGAGUUUUGAACAUUGUAAUCUGAGGCACCCUUAGUUUUUGUACUUCUUUAUUGACAUAUCACCAAGAUACUAAUGUUCAGUUGUGUUAAAAUUUUGUGGGAUGUUAUUUGCGAGACAUGCUACCUAUUCUUCUGGUCAGGCCAAUCACGUUUCCUGCCGAACUUUAGUUAUGAUAUCUGUAGUGCUGCUUGCGGUAUUUUACUGUCAGAUAUGUGUAUGCACUUAAUAUAAAGUGCAGGGAGCCAGUUAUUAGGAAAUAGCAAAAGACAGACAUAUGUGAUGAUGUAAUCACUACCUGACAUUAGGAGUUGUUAGCAUCAGUCUGAGACAUUUCUCUAGUUUAUUUACUAGUACUUGCCAGUUGGUCAUGUUUAGUUAUUAAUUCACCAGCAUUCUAACUGGUCUUCAGCCUUCACUACUUGAGUGCUUGUAUGGUCGUGGUGUGUUAUUUACCUUUGACAAAUUUUCUGAUGCAGAUACGUGAUCUUUUGGUUGGUCAUAUUUGCAUGCAAAUUUCCUUUUGCUUAUUAUCUCCAGGUGGGUAUAACUAUUUCUUUCGGAACUCAGAUGCUUACUGAUAUUUUCUGUGUGGCCAGAACUUCAAAAGUUACUCUGCUUUUCAUCAUGUCAUUCCCUUUUGCAGAUUCGCCCUUUAGUUGUACCAACCAAUAUAAUCGUCCAACUCCAUGAUUUGCAGUAUUCUUGGCAUGAUUUUGUAUCAAAGGGUUAGUAAAUUUGUACAUAUCGCACUAGUAGCGUUGUUUCAUUUACUCCACAUUUUUUUUGAGGUAAUAAUUUGCUCAACAUCUUUAUUAAGGAGAAAACGAUUAUCUUCUUUUUUACUUAAGUACACUAACAAUGACACUACCAUGCUGAUGACGCUUUUAUAGGAAAUAGAAAUGCUUUGACCAUUCUCAGCCUAUGGGCGCCCGUCGUAGCUGUAAGUUUCAUGUGUUGACCUUCAAAUUCUUGGAGAGAAAAGAAGUGAACUUUCAAAAUGAUGCACUGCUUCACUAUAUUUGUAUAUUCAGAUAUACCUGAUGGACAUACACAUUUGGUACACUCUUCUAUCUGCUCUUGUUGGUGGCGUUAUGGGUGCUAGAGGUCGCCUUGGGGAGGUACUAUCGACCACGUAUGCAUUUGUUGUGAUCUGUAAACUGGAUAUCACUCUUACAUGUGCCAAUUUAAUGCAGAUUCGUUCAAUUGAAAUGCUUCAUAAACGUUUUGAGAGCUUUCCAGAAGCUUUUGCAAAAACCCUUUCCCCGCAAAGGUCCUUAAUCCUAUUCUUUAAAAUUGUGUCAUUUUGAGCAGCUAUCUAGUUUAAUUUGAUUUAUUUUCCAAUUUUCAUAAUGUUUUCAUUUGAUGUUGUAGGAUAUCUAGCAGGCCAGUUCCUCAGGUAAACAAAUGCCUGUUUAUCACAUCCUGCGUUUGUAACUUCCUUUAGAUGCUUGUGCCACAGUACAUCUCAAGAUCUCAAGAUGUCUACCGCCGCACCCCCUGGCACACACACAUCUAGUUUCUUAAACUAAGUGUUCGCGAUUAGUUUUAUGCAAACAAGUUAUGUUCAACUCAAUUUAGCCAAGCAUGUCACUCUAUUUAAACUUGUUGUUUCUCAAACUACCAAGUCCACUUUCAACUUGUAAAACUGGCUUUCCUGUAUUCUUAUUUCAUCCUUGUUAUAUUACCUCUCUAUCUGGCCAAUAUCCUAGACCCUGAUGAAGUGAUGUUGGCUGGACAUAUUAUUAUUUUUAAUGGCUUCUUUUUAUUUAUCUUAAAAAAUCAAGUUAGCUGAUUCCAGUUUCAUUUUUCAAAAUCUCGACAAGUUAAAUACCUGAAAGUACUGACCUUUAAUCACGCUCAACACUAGGAUUCAGAAGCAGCUACUAAGAUGUAUGCCUCGAUAUUCUCCCCGUUUUGGAAUGAGAUUAUCAAGAGCUUGCGUGAAGAGGACUACAUCAGUAACAGGUACAUUGAACACUAUAUAUGUUUACCAUUCUAUAAAAACCAUUUGCUUCAAUACCAUCAAUAAAUUUUGUUUCAGGGAGAUGGAUCUGCUUAUGAUGCCAAGUAACUGUGGAACUUUAAGACUCGUACAAUGGCCAUUGUUUCUUCUUACUAGUAAGGUAUCCUAAUUGAAACCAACUAUAUCCAACUUCUGUUGCAAGAAUUGAUCUUUAUCUGUGAAUUGGGGUGUCAUGACUCUGUUGCUUUAUUUGUAGAUCAUGUUGGCGAAUGACUAUGCAUCUGACUGCAAAGACUCCCAGAAGGAAUUAUGGCACAGAAUAUCAAAAGAUGAAUACAUGGCCUAUGCGGUCAAGGAAUGCUACUAUAGUGCAGAAAGAAUUCUUAAGUCUAUAGUUGAUGGUGAAGGGAAGCUCUGGUAUGAUUCCGUACUAAAAGAUGAAGUACCUUACUCACCAUCAUUAGAUGGUUUUCCUAAAUUAUCUCUUCACUUUUCUCUGCUUUGUCCUGAUACAUGUACAGGGUUGAUCGCCUUUUCCAAUAUCUCAAUGAAAGCAUAGGACGAGAUUCACUUUUGGUUACUAUAAAUCUGAAGAAGUUGCAGUUGGUCCAGUCACGUCUUACUGGUUUGACAGGACUUCUGGUGAGAUUGUGCUUUCGUUGAUGCCUCGCAUAGUUUUCUUUGAUGAACAUUUAAUGGAGCAGUAUACGUGUUAGUAAUUUUUUAACUGUUUCCUAUUUCAUGUAUGUUUCUUAAAUAUAUCAUGAAGGCGUUUUAAAUGACAAUACAAUAUGUAUUAGAUACGCGACGAGACUGCUGAUCGUAAAGCUGGUGUUACAAAAGCUCUCCGUGAGCUCUAUGAGGUUGUUACCCACGAGUUUCUUGCACCAAAUCUGAGGUAUGCUAUGAGAACAAUCACUGUUUUGAUUGGUGAAAGAUAUCAGUUACACAGUUCUACUUUAUUUCCUACAAAUGUUUUUUUCUUGCUGCAGGGAAGAAUUUGACACCUGGCAAUUACUGUUAAGAGCUAGGAAUGAUGGGCGUCUAUUCUCUAACAUUUUGUGGCCAAAUGAUCUGGAAAUGGUACUUCUACUUCAUCUGCACAACUAUUUGAAAAUUUCUUACUGGAAAGAGUUCUUGUCGUACCAUCUCUUGUGGUGCUACCAAUGUAUGCUAUUGCCACUCAAAAUGUUAAGAAAAAAUCCAUUUUUUUUUUGGGUUUUUCGUGACUUUCUGUGUUGCUUCGCUGGUACCAUAGCAGCAUCCCUAUAGGGCAUGGCAUUCUCUCAUUGCUUACACCGGGUCUAUUUGUGCUUGUAGAAAGAACAAGUUAAGCGUUUACACUUACUUCUGACUGUCAAAGACUCUGCUGCAAACAUUCCAAAAAAUUUAGAAGCUCAGAGAAGACUACAAUUUUUCACCAACUCUUUGUUCAUGGACAUGCCGGAAGCAAAGCCCGUCUCUGAGAUGAUCCCAUUCUGGUACUAUGAAUGCUUAUGAACUUCAUGCUUAUCUAAAGGAAUAUGAUCCUUUUGACACAUACUUUUCUUGUGCAACAGUGUAUUUACCCCAUACUACAGUGAGACUGUACUUUAUAGCAUGUCUGAGCUGUGUGUUGACAAUGAAGAUGGCAUUUCUAUACUUUUCUAUCUUCAAAAAAUCUUUCCAGGUAAUAUUACGAUGCCUUCUCUUGCAAAUUAUUACUUCUUGAUGAUAUUUUAUUUCUCAAGGCUUGGUUUAUGUAGAUGUUGUUCUGGCUGUUUUGCCAGGGAAAAUAUGUAUAGAUAGGGAGGUGCACUCACCCCUUUGAGUGGGAUUGCUGCAAUUUGUAUAUUCCAUGAAGCCUCUGGAAACAAAAAUUCUGAUUUUGCCAAAAUCGACACAACACAAUGCGACUAUUAUGAGUUAUAAAAUUUCAAAUCCAAACGCGAUUGACAAUCGAGAAACAGGACAAAUGGUAGAUGCAUCUUGUGUCAAUGCUGCCAUUUUUUAUCGAAUGUUUCGUUUACUGUUUGGACGUACUCCAAGCCUGGUUCAUCUGUUCCACCUAAAUGACAGAGUGCAUACAAGUCGUUGCCGCACUGAUAUCAUAUUUUGAACUCUUUCGUAGUUACCAAAACUGGUGCCGAAGUUGUGUUUGUAGACAUCAAAAUUUUAAACCAAUACUCUUUCCUCCCAUCCUGAGUUUUUUCUUUUCGUCCAUAGUUUAUUAAACAACUUCACAGGUUGAGGUUUUUCAUUUCUCGUGGUAGCAUUCCCCUUUUUAUGUUGUACUUUGGGCUAUAAAGUAUUUGGAGUUUUUACACAUGUUGUAUGGCAGAGGAAAGUGUUCUGCAGAAUAAGUCAUGUAGAGUAGAACAUUGUAAAUGCAACUUCAAUUAAUUAUCACAAAAUUCCUACAUGUCAGCAUGUGUUGCAGAGGAAAGUGUUCGGCAGAAUAACUCAUGUAGAGUUGAGCAUUGUAAAUACAGCUUCAAUUAAUUAUCACAAAAUUCCUACAUGUCAACAUGUGUUGGAUCACAGUUCUGUUGGAUCACAGUUCACCACAAAGGAAGAAGAUGUUCCUUGUACCAGAAUACUGAUUAAGUUGUUUGUUUUAUACCAGAAAUGUAAUUAGUAUCUCAUUUGUUUUUUUGCAAUCAGAUUGUCGUUUUAUACAAAACAUGCCCUUAAUUUUCUUUAAGAGUGUGGCCUGGAUUUUUAUUUGGUUUGUAGAUGAGUGGGCCAACUUCUUAGAACGAAUUGGUCGUGGAGAAUCAUCAGAAGAGGAUUUUAAGGAAAGUCCAAGUGACACCUUAGAACUGCGGUUUUGGGUGUCAUACCGUGGCCAAACUUUGGCAAGGACAGGUGAAUUUUCUUUUAUCUCUGUUUACUAAAUGCUCAUGUAUAGCGGAAUGUAUGCAACUAAUACAUGUUCCAUACUCAAAUGGUCCAUAAGCUUCAAUCUGAUGCCAAGUACAUAUUUUUUCCUUUUAUUUGAUAUAUUCCUUGACUUUGUAUUUGCUGGAGCAGUGAGGGGUAUGAUGUACUACAGACGAGCGUUGAUGUUGCAGAGUUACCUGGAGAAGCGAUAUCUUGGAGGUGUGUUUAUAGUUCUCUGUUGUAGAAAAUGAAAUAACAUAGUUUAUUUUUCUCAUUUGUUUUCUGAGAGAUUUUCAUCAUUUUGUUUGUUCCACCAGGCAUUGAAGAUGGGUAUUCUGCACUUGAAUAUAUUGACACUCAAGGGUAUCAGUUAUCUCCUGAUGCACGGGCCCAGGCAGAUCUAAAAUUUACAUACGUUGUUUCAUGUCAAAUAUAUGGACAGCAGAAGCAAAGGAAGGCUCCAGAGGCUGCGGAUAUUGCUCUUUUAUUGCAGAGGUUAAUUUGCUUGACUUUUAUUUCCUUUGUAAGAUCUAUUCUAGAUUACUAGGACAAUGGCAUGCUUUGCAACUCACUUCAUUGUAAAUAGUCCACCUUAUUUCCGUCAAAAAUUAUAAUUAUACCCAAACUAAUUUAGUAAAGAGUAAACCCCCUUCGAACCACAUAUUUCUCACACUGACAUUUUGAACAGAUUUAAUGUUAAGCAUUUUUACAGUACAUAGGCACUUCUGCCAGAGUGGUGGGAGCACUGGUUAAUUCUGGCCUUUUUUCCUUUUCUUUGGGCUUGUUGAGCUGUGCCCUCAGCAGAACCUGUUGUACUUGUCGUCUGUGUGCGUGUGGUGUGUUUUUUGUUGGACUUGCUUUUUGUGUUGGAUACUGUUGUCUGGUUGUGGUGCUUUAUCUUUAAAGCGGGGCGAAAGCCUUUUUCGGUAAUUCUGGCCUUCCAUUAAUAAUAGAAUAAAUUAGUCAUUUUCUAGCUAAGAAGGGGUAAUAGACUUUUGUUCCUAAUCUAUUUUUUCCAAGGCAACACUAGACAUGUCUUUAGAAAGCUGCAUCAUUCUUGAUGUCCAUGUCAACCAGUGAAAAAUAAUAGCGUGCUAUAGAGUUCUCAGAAAUGUCUCGCUAAUAGCACGCUAUAGUGCGAUAUAGCACGCUAAUAGCGUAUUUUAAGGGUCAUGCUAUUUUUUCAUUGAAUUGUCAACAGAUGCGUGCCAACUCACUGUCUAGUCAGCUGACAGGUAGGCCAAACCAACCAGGAUCAGAAGUGGAUGUUAAGUCUGGUACAAUAUGGAUUUCGGUGCUUAAAAUCUGGUUCAAUACAAAAAUAGCAAUCUUCUAAUUGUCAUGAUGCAACACUUGUGUGAUUCAAAGUGGGAUGCACUCUAUAAUUAUCUAAAAAAUAUAGAGGAUAUGAAAAGAUUAAAAGAAGUCCUUAAUUUCUUGUCUUUUGGCUCAUCAGUUGAUUUUUUGUCUGUUAGAUGAGGUCAUGCUUGCUGUAGUUUUCAUUAUCUUAAGUUAAUAUGUUUCUGAUUUUGGUUUCUGCUAUAUAAUUUUUAAACCUUACAUUGCAUAAUCCUGAUUAACUUUUGUUAUAACUUGUAGAAAUGAGGCCCUUCGGGUUGCUUUCAUACAUGAAGAGGAUGGUGUAUCGAGUGAUGGGCAAGCUAUAAAAGAGUAUCAUUCCAAGCUCGUGAAGGCUGAUAUUCACGGAAAAGAUCAAGUAAGCACAGUACUGCAGUUCUGUAUAAUUUUGAUUAAUGAUUUGCUCCAUUUUUCUUGCGUCCUUGAAAUCAACAAUAAACCUGUAACACUCCACUUUUCACAUUAUAAGAUCUGUAGUACGUGGAAAAUAGCUUGUUCUGUAUUAGCAGCAAUUGAGCUAUCUCAGUUAUUAUUAACUGUUUUCUGACUCCAAAAGCAACAAUAGGUGAAGAAACUGAUGGUCAUGUUCCAUCCUUUUCCUUCUCCGUGUAACCGACAAACCAUGUGUAGUACCUGAGCCUUAUUCCCCGCUUUCCUUUAGUUCACAUGUUUUUGUUAGUCUCGUAAUAUCACCUUCUCGAAUAAAACUGAUAAUACUGUUCUCUCAUGUUACAUAUUGAGUAAGAGAAUAUGAAAUUAUUGCUCUUAUCAUCAUUUCUCAGUUUUCUGCUACUGCACCACCUCUUCUAUUGAUGCCCCCUUAUCAUUUGCUGAUCUACCAAACUAACUCCACUUCUGGAAGAGAUCACAAAUGCUGUUGUAGCCUUAGCUCUGGUAGUAUGGAAUUUUAUUAACCAAAAAACAGAAGAAAGUUUUGGUUCUUGCCAGCCAUAAUGUAUCUUAGAAUUUUACCAACAUUAAUAUUAAUUGACCUCUUAUGCUUCAUCUUUUUUCAUACUGUUGUAUAAAUAGGAAAUAUACUCCAUUAAACUGCCUGGGAACCCCAAGCUUGGUGAGGGGAAACCUGAAAACCAAAAUCAUGCUAUAAUUUUUACUCGUGGAGAUGCAAUACAGACGAUCGAUAUGAAUCAGGUAUACUUUUCUUCUUCAAUAGUAACAACAGCCCUUAAAUAUUUAAUCAUUAACCUUAUCAUUUGUCAAUUCCUCAUGAAGUAUCACUAGUUUAGAUUCUUGCGUGUAUUUUGUUGGAUUGAAUUUAGAUCCCAGUAAAAAUCUACUCAUAGAACAUAUUGUCUGUUUCUAGUUUGUCCAUUCCAUUUUUAAGAAUAUUUUAAAUCCUGGAUGCUAAUCUAUGCAUGAUUCUGAUAGUGUCGCAUCCUGCACCGUUCUUGGUAGAAUUUGCCAUACAGAUGGAUGUUCCAUUGCUUUCAAUUUGCUUGCAUUUUUCUUGAAUAGAAAGGAGUUCAUUAUGUACAAGGGCGUAAGGGGAAUUUAUACAACAAAAUACGAAGUCGCGCUAGAUACUUCCCUUAGAAAACGAGAUGAGGAGGGACUAGGUGUUCAUUCAAAAAGAAAUAGGCACCCAAAUUCAAGUAGAUGACUUGAGCUUGGGUGGUGGGGGUGUAUAACUCCCACAAACUGUGCUAGGCUUAGUUUCAGAUGCUUCUCUUUUCUCAUAUGCAUGGUAUACAUUAGAUGUGUUAUGAUGCCCCCGUGUACCCCAAAUAGCCCUGAUGGAUACAAGUUCUCACAUAGGAUAACUACUUGGAGGAGGCAAUGAAAGUGAGGAAUUUACUUGAAGAAUUUCGUGGUAACCAUGGAAUACGUUAUCCCACAAUUCUUGGUGUGCGGGAGCAUGUGUUUACGGGAAGGUUAUUCUUCGACUACUCAGUUAUUUUUUACCAACUAUUGACAUGUUUUGUAUCUUUUCUGUAUCAACCUGUUCUAUUUUAUUCUGCUACAGUGUGUCUUCGCUGGCAUCAUUUAUGUCUAAACAGGAAACCAGUUUCGUUACUUUGGGGCAACGUGUUCUUGCUUACCUCAAGUGAGUAAAUGUACCGUGGCCUGUAGGGAAUAUCCGUGCACAUUCUUACUAAUUUUCUCUUUCUACCAAUGAACCUGACAAUAGUUUCAUUUCGGCACAACUUAAUUGCAUUCUGUUGUCCUUGUGUAGGGUUCGAAUGCACUACGGGCAUCCUGAUGUCUUUGAUCGGAUAUUUCAUAUAACCAGGGGUGGUAUUAGCAAGGCAUCCCGGGUGAUCAAUAUAAGUGAAGAUAUAUACGCUGGUUUGUACUUUACGUUAUCUACAGUUAUGUUACAUCAUGAAUGUGACAUGGUGGGCUGCAGUGCUUGCCAGCUCAUGGCUAUUUAGGUUGCACCGGGACCUUUUCCUUGUUGGACCUCCCCACACCCCACCCAGUAUUUUUCGAGGUUUCAAGUCUUGAGAUAACUAGUCAUUCUGAAGUUAUUUACCAUGUUAUAUUUUUUAAGAAGCUAAAAUGCCUGAUGUCACCAUCUCUGUUAAUUGUCUCACAAUAGAUAGGUUGGUAGGUGACGUGUCGAUAACUAAAUAUUAGUUUAAGAUCACAAGCGUUGUGCAUACCUAGAUAUUACUUUAUUCUUGAAAGCUUGACUUUAAGUGUUAACAAUUUGCAGGAUUCAAUUCAACUCUGCGCCAGGGUAAUAUCACACACCAUGAAUAUAUCCAGGUUAUCUAUUCUGUUCACUUGUAUACAUAGUCUGCAGCAUGGAUACAUUUAGGUGUACAUGGUAUGACAUGUGUGGAAAGUUCUGUUGACAGAUGUAAUUAUGUGCAUUAAGCGAAACAUGAGUGAGUAAAUGACACUGCAGCACACACAUCAGUUUCUAUUCUUUCUGUGCACACAAGCUAACAUGUAACAUGCUUUACAAUUCAGUGCUGAUAUGUCUACAUUUUGCUUACUGAGUGCACAUGCCAUUAUUUGUAUGUUGCCCAUAAAAUGUAAUAAUGAUAUGCUUCUUUUCCCCAAAAUGCAAUAAAAUCUUUGCUUCUUUCUAGGUUGGAAAAGGACGUGAUGUUGGUUUAAACCAGAUUGCCCUGUUUGAGGGGAAAGUUGCUGGAGGUAACGGCGAGCAAGUUCUGAGUCGAGACGUGUACCGCUUGGGGCAGCUGUUUGACUUCUUUAGGAUGCUAACCUUCUUUUACACCACUGUUGGUUAUUAUGUCUGCACAAUGGUAUCCCUUUCUCCCCCCUUCAUAAUAAGUUUACUGUAUUGUUGUUGAUUGGUUGUGCCUGGAUAAUAAUCUCAACCAACUCAUUUGAAUGGAUGCAUCCAAGUAAGUUAUUUAUUGUGUGUUGUUGCUACGUGAGCUUUGAUAUGCAUAGUGCCAUUAGUUGAUCAUAUAUCCUGAAUUGGUUUUGGUUGCAUUACAUUAUCCUGAAACCGCCCAUAUCUGCUUGAGGCUAUAAAGAUGGGUAUAGAUACCAGAAUGUCAUAAAAAUAAAUGCAUCCUUGUCGGCUAUUCCCAACUUAGGGUUUAUACAAACUUCUAAUUCAACUUCUUUAAGAUUGAUAUGCUAAGUCCUUCACCAAAAACCUAGAUCGUGUUGAUUGACUUAUGGGUAUGGUUUAUUGGUUGCUACUUAAACAUCGUGUCUUGCUGCUACUAGGUUCUCAAUUUCAAUCAUUUGAUAGCUUAAGGCAUGCCUAUAGAAAAGACUGCAACGGUGAACCUGAUAUAAGCAUUUUCUUGAGAAUUGGAUAAUUUGUAUAUGUUUCUUGACUGGCUGCAUAUAUGAUUUCGGUCACAUGCAUAUAUGUAAUAGUUUCUUUGUUUACGUGUGUUUGCAGAUGACUGUUCUAACUGUGUAUAUCUUCUUGUAUGGGAGGGUGUAUCUGGUAAAUAUUAUGAUCCCUAUUUUGUUAUGCUUCUUUUUGCUGAAUGUUGCUUCUGUGCUGUAUUAAACCCUAAAUUACAUUUGAAACUUUUAGGCACUCUCUGGACUCGACCAUUCGAUAUCUCGUCAAGCUAGGUUUCUGGGGAACACUGCCCUUGAUGCUGCUCUGAACGCUCAAUUUUUGGUUCAGAUUGGAGUUUUUACAGCCGUACCAAUGAUAAUGGGUUUCAUUUUGGAAUUAGGGCUAAUGAAGGUGGCGCCCUUUGUUUCUUUAGAAACCUACUUUUACAGGGUCACCCGUGAUCAUGUAUUCAUGUUAUAAUUCUUAAUCCUGUGCAGGCUAUUUUCAGUUUUAUCACAAUGCAACUGCAGUUCUGCUCAGUAUUUUUCACCUUUUCACUUGGAACUAGAACACAUUAUUUUGGGAGAACUAUCCUUCAUGGUGGUGCGAAGGUAGAUAUGAUGUGUUCCUUUUUACCAAUAUUAUUUGUUUGAACUCUGCUGAUCCAUGAUCCUCUAUGCAGUAUCGUGCUACUGGAAGAGGUUUUGUUGUUCGCCACAUAAAGUUUGCUGACAAUUAUAGGCUCUAUUCUCGAAGCCACUUUGUGAAAGCGUAAGUUGCUACUUUCAAGCAAUAAAGUGAAUCGUCACAACAAGUUCAUCUGCAUGAGUAAUGGACACAAAUCCAUCUAUACCAAACAGAAGAGCACACAGCUGUAGUGUUGCCAUAUUCCUUUUGUACUCCCUCCGUCCGAAAAUACUUGUCAUCAAAAUGGAUAAAAAUGAAUGUAUCUAGAACUAAUAUACAUCUAGAUACAUCCCCUUUUAUUCAUUUUGACGACAAGUAUUUCCGGACGGAGGGAGUAACAUUCAAGGUUUUCGAGUCGUUCUGAGGUUGAGACCCAUAGACUAAGCGUGAGUGCGUGACUAAUCGACACUAGUCGACACUGAAGUUGCGACUCAUAGACUAGUCGACACUGAAGUGUAGUUCGGCCUUGGAGUUGAAACUCAUAGACUAGUCUAUAGACUAGCCUGAACUAGUCCUUGGACUCAUAAUCCAUGGUAGUAUUGUGAUAAUACGGUUUCCCCAUCCAAUUGCAAUUAUCAGACAUAAUUUUUGCAUUGUAUAACCUGAUUGUUGACAUUGGUCAUUGGCGAUCAAUCUGUAACUCCUCUUGAAGGCAAAAUUGGUUAGCAUUUGCUGCAAAACGCCUUAAAAUAAGUAAUCUGUUGACGGGCUCUGCAAAAUUGUGCUGGAAAUUACUGGAGUAGUUAAAUUUUCUUGUUUAGAAAAUUAGGAGUUAGAAGCAAAGAAAUCCUAUUUGCCUUUGGAAAUUAACCGAGCCCAACUGUUAUUGCUCAAUCCUAUGUUCUCUUGUUCCUCUCCAAGUACAAAUAAAACUGCUCACAACCCCUCCCUUCUAAAUUUCGAAAUAUUAACAAUAAUUGUUCUAGUAUGCUGCACCAAGUGGCGCCAAUUGUGCAGUUUUCAUUGGCAAAUACUGUUGUUUCAUGAUUUGCUUCAGCAAACGCCAACCAAUUGUAAUAAUGUCUUAAAGAGUCAGUUCUGCCCCAGAAAUCUAAUUCGCCUCUUGGGAGUAUAUGCUCCUCUGUUAAAAAUGUUCUUUACAAAUGCCAAUUUUUUUGGAAAAAAUUAGAUGUGUUCAUUGUCACACCCAAAUGCUACCUACAAAAUUUUAGGGGCAUAGCUUAAGCAUUUUGACCUGUGCAAAAUAAAAUAAAAUAACAAGACGAACGCCACAUGUUACACCUACUCUUGUUUUUUCACCGACGACGCACUGCUAUCCCGUUUCGCAUAAAAUUUGUCAAGCACGCUUGUUACACUAACAUGAAUAUCUAUAAAAAGAAAAUCAGAUUUUUUUAAAAAUUAUUUACUAUUUUUUAAUUCACUGUUCAUCCAGGAGCAUAUGCUCCCCAGAGCCAAAACACCAUCCCCCCAUGCAGGGAUCUGACUCAACACAACACAUUGAAUCUUCAAUUCCAGCUAUAGUGUUCUUGCUAGCAUUACUUGGUGAUCAAUCUGAUGGCUGUAUUAUUGCAGGCUUGAGGUUGCUCUCCUGCUUAUUGUCUACAUUGCGUAUGGCUACACGAAGGGCGGGUCAUCGUCAUUUAUUCUGUUGACUAUCAGUAGUUGGAUCAUGGUUAUAUCCUGGCUUUUUGCUCCAUACAUUUUCAACCCUUCUGGUUUCGAGUGGCAAAAGUAUGUUCACCAAUCCUACCUUUUCCCUUUAGAUUUGUUGUCAUUCAAGCAGGAUGACCACUGAUAGGGAAACUGAGCUUGUUUACUUUUUUUUCCCUUUGUAGAAAAUAGAAUAGUCACUACUGUGAUCAAGCAUAUAGAAGUAUAGGAUAAUUGUAUAUGUACGCUUUUAUACUACCUGCUCACUUGUCAUUCUAGUCCUAGAAAUAUAAAUAUAAGAUGCAUUUGGCUAUUGCACGUUGCAUUGAUAUAAUUGGUUUUUGGAUGUACCUUUACUGAUUUGCAUUUUGAAUGUCAGAACUGUUGAGGACUUUGAUGACUGGACAAAUUGGUUAUUUUAUAAAGGUGGAGUUGGUGUAAAGGGCGAAAAUAGUUGGGAAUCUUGGUGGGAGGAGGAGCAGGUCAGUAACAAUGACGUUGUGUGUGAAAAUCUAUUUGUUUAAGCCCUGUGCUUCUUGCUCUUUUGACUUAUACAUGUUCUUGUUACUUCUGUAAUGUGUUCAUACAGGCUCAUAUCCAGACCUUUAGGGGACGAAUCCUUGAGACUAUCCUGAGCCUCAGAUUUCUCCUGUUCCAGUAUGGCAUUGUGUACAAGCUUAAAAUUACUGCACAUAAUACAUCUCUGGCAGUAAGUGAAGAGCUCUCUCCUUUAGUAGUUCUGUCCAGUACAAAUUUUCACUUGCUUCGUUAGCUGACUCUUUGGAUGCUUCUUUACACCAAAUAUAAUAUUUUCUUAUAGUUCAAUUACAUCAUAUGUAUUCCUUUUUUAUCUCUUCAUGUUGGCCACUUAUCCAUUCUUAUGUUUACAUUGGUUGCAUAACUGUAACCGAGCAGUAGUGUGUUAGGUCUGCCUUCUGCCAUGAGCAUAAAAAUGUGGUUGGGUACAAACUGGUUUUAAAAUUUACCAGUUUACUUCAUAGUUUUUACUCUAUAGUUUUGUUUUCAUGUGCAAGUUGAAUAAAAAAAAUCUUGAAGUUGAGUACAUGUAUUUUCAUCUUCAAAUAAAACAAGAGAUAAUAGUAUAACAGGUUCAUGAUGUUCCUACCAAGUCUGCCAGUUCUAUUCUGUGAUAAAUCUAAAUGCCUUCUGUUACUGGUCAGAUGUAUGGCUUCUCGUGGAUUGUACUUCUUGUUAUGGUCCUCCUGUUCAAGGUUUGUUAUAUUAUUCAUGCUUUUUCAUCUAUUUUGUAUUCUGCAUUAUAACAUUAUUCAUGAGUUAUGACAAAUCUAUUUUGUUAUUGUGCUUCAGCUUUUCACCGCAACUCCAAGGAAGUCAACUGCCUUGCCGAUAUUUAUUCGGUUUCUACAGGGCCUCCUUGCAAUUGGCAUCAUUGCAGCAAUUGCAUGCCUUAUUGGAUUUACAGACUUUACAAUUGCUGAUUUAUUUGCAAGUGCACUAGCUUUCUUAGCAACUGGAUGGUGUAUCUUAUGUGUAAGUACACUGGUCUUCCUUUUUCAAUUUCUACAUUUCCUGUAGUUUCUGCCUUUGUGCAUUUUGCCACAUGCCUCAUAACCUGUUGCUUCUCGUGGCAGCUGGCCAUCACAUGGAAGCGUGUGGUGAAGACUCUGGGGCUGUGGGACUCCGUCCGCGAGAUCUCCCGGAUGUACGACGCUGGGAUGGGCGCCGUUAUCUUUGCGCCCAUCGUGUUCUUCUCGUGGUUCCCCUUUGUGUCCACGUUCCAGUCGCGCAUCCUGUUCAACCAGGCCUUCAGCCGUGGUCUGGAGAUCUCCCUCAUCCUGGCGGGGAACAAGGCGAACCAGGAGUCAUGAGAAGCCUCAUCCAUCCGCUGGGUGUUUUUGUUGUACAUUUCUGGACUUGAUUAGGGACAUGCUAGGUUGAAACAACAUAUGUACAUAACGCCCCUGAGUAUUUGGACGCUAAUCGCUCGCUUGUGGACAAUGAGCUAAUGCUGGCUUAGACGUGUGAAUAUUCAUUUGACUCGCGCUUGUAGUUUUGAGUUGCUGGAUGUAAUUUGGAUCCUCUGGUGAUUUGUGUCGCCUGGUAGCAGUAAUCACAGUUUGAGUAAACUAGUGGCUAACUCUUGAGUUUGACACUGUUUCUGUUAGAUUUCAUUCUGUUACAUUUUUACAUUGCCCAUCUCUCUUAUUUCUGUUAGAUUCUGCUGACAUGCAGUUGAACAUGGGGUGACCUGUCUGGAU
rnacentral:lncRNA from 1 species